rnacentral:rRNA from 1 species
UUCAGGUGGCGGACGGGUGAGUAACGCGUGAGAAUCUGCCUUCAGGUUCGGGACAACCACUGGAAACGGUGGCUAAUACCGGAUAUGCCGAAAGGUGAAAGAUUAAUUGCCUGGAGAGGAGCUCGCGUCUGAUUAGCUAGUUGGUAGGGUAAAGGCCUACCAAGGCGACGAUCGGUAACUGGUCUGAGAGGAUGACCAGUCACACUAGGACUGAGACACGGCCCAG